GACGUAGGGCGCGAGCGUUGUCCGGAUUUAUUGGGCGUAAAGAGCUCGUAGGCGGCUUGUCGCGUCGUUCGUGAAAACCCACAGCUCAACUGUGGGCUUGCGGUCGAUACGGGCAGGCUGGAGUUCGGUAGGGGAGACUGGAAUUCCUGGUGUAGCGGUGAAAUGCGCAGAUAUCAGGAGGAACACCGGUGGCGAAGGCAGCUCGCUGGGACGGUACUGACGCUGGAGAACGCGAAAGCGUGGGGAGCAAACAGG
rnacentral:rRNA from 1 species